rnacentral:snRNA from 1 species
UUACUUACCUGGCAGGGGAGACACCACCAUAAGGCAGGUGGUUUUCCCAGGACAAGGCUCAUCCCCUACACUCUGAGUGCGCUGACCCCUUGCAAUUUCCCCAAAUGCAGGAAACACAACUGCUAAGGC